GGUGGGGCGCAGGUAGUGAGAAAUGACUCAGCAACUUUGGAUCUUUCUGAAAACAUAGCCCUAAAUCAAUUGGAACAUUGUAGCUGAUCUUGACAAUUUUGGAACUAAGAUUUAGUUAUCUUUUAGAAGUAACCUCUUUACUCUUUGCAUUUACCAUGUCAAAUGUGAUUUCUUUUCUUCUUGGAGAUUGACAUUCUACCUAUAUAUAUAUAUAUAUAUUACAACUAAUAACUUAUCAGUGAAUAAUGAUGUGUUUCAUUUAAAUUGAACUUUAUGUGCAUCAUUUCCUGUGUAAGCAUUUUGUUCCAAGACUAUGAAUAAAAGAGAACAUUCAACUUCAUUUUCGGAAUUCUAAAUUUUCUCCAUUGGCUAAAAAACCUUUGCAGGCCAGCUGAUAAGCAUGUCUUAUGCCAACACAACUCUAUACAAUUGGACUGGGUCCAUGCCAGUAAUCCAUGGGCAAAGGUGAUGCUAACCUAUGCCAUGCCAGCCUGUCCUGCCACUGUAUAGCAUCAUGCCUCUAAAGGGGCCACGUCGCAUGAAACAGCUCACAUCUACUUGUGUGCCUGGCAUGGGGGCUAGGAUCCAGUGACCCAGCACAAGCUCAAUAUUGUAGCUAUUGACAUGCCAAGCAGCAUAGGCCCAUGUACUGUCUAACCCAUUUUACACCUCUGAUGUAAUCACAGUUAGGGAGCAUGUAUAAACUAUAAAGACCUACUGCAUACAUAUAGGGCAGCCAAGGCAAAUGAAAUAUUAGCACCCAAGAUAUUAGUAGAGCCAUCAAUGUACACUACUCUUUCUAAAAAUAUUAGUACCCAACUUGCAGACACCCAAAAAAAGCAAACCCAAAGAAGUAAGAGAAAAAGACAGCAGAAAAGCUACUAAAAAUUUAAUAUUAGUUGUUAAUUUGUUAUUCAAACUUGCAGUUUAUUUUGAUAGUGUUCAAACUAGGAAAACUCAUAUGAGAUCAGGUAAUGAAACCUAUUAACAGUAAAAAUACCAAACUAUGUGUAUAACAGUCACAUGCAUACACUUGCUACUUCAUGACCGGAGUAUAAGGUACGAAGGAAUGAAAGAGACCCCAAGCAUAUAAGUCCUAGAUAGUGUGUAACAGAAUAUAUAUGUCCUAGAUAGUGUGUACCAGAAUAAACCAUCUCCAGGAAGAAGAAUAUGUUUAAAAAAACACAGUUAGUCGAAACUUACCAGUACUAUUAGUUUAUCCUUAU
rnacentral:misc_RNA from 1 species